GCGGAGAGGUGAGUGAGAAGUGCAAAGGGAAUAGGUAGGGAUGCCGGGGUUGAGGGAGCAGUGGCCAGCCUGCUGCUUGGUUCGUCGUCGGGCGCUAGGGCUCGUCCCUGCGGGUUGUGGGUGGAGGAAGCUGCACGCGGCAGAAGAGGCCGGCGGCGGCCCCUAAACGUCGGUGGCCUGCCACUCCAAGAGAGUGGGCGCUGACCGGAACCCGCGGAAGUACGGGCGAGGAGAAGUCGAGACACCUAGACGUAGCGCGCGGCUGCGGCUACCGGGACCUCGGCGGCGCUAAGACCAGCCGCGGUGUUCCACCUCCACGUAAGGACCACCACCGGCUCGCGGCGUGGCGGCGGACGGGGCGGCGCCGCCUGCUGCUCCGGUGGAGGAGAGCAGCUCCAGAAGUGCGCUGCCAUUGGCAGUACGGAGGUGGCGCGAGACCCAGUCGUAGGAAGACGUUCGAGGAGCGGCUGGACGAGCUCUACGGCGGCACCCUUCUCUCGACUCGCGGCGGACGAGAGGAUGCGACUGCGCCGACCGCAGCCCCGACGGAUAGACACGCACUAGGAGCGCGCGACGUCGCUCGUGGUCCGGCGGCGCGAGGGCCACUUACGUCGAUGGAUACCUGGCUUCCAUUUAACGGUAGCAAAGGGGAGACGGUGGUGGGCGGUACGGGGUGUCGCAACCUCCUCCAGCUCCCUCAAGCUCGAGCUGGUAGUGCCGUGUGUACGUGUACCGGGGACGACCGUAACUGUGGGAGGGGACGUCCAUUAUGAAGUGAAGGGGGUAACUUUAACGAGAUGUGAAGGUAGUCAUGAGGUCUUAGCAUCAGUAAAUCAACUUCUAGACGAGGAUCAAACACUUAGGAGACAAUAAUUAGAAGUCUUUGUUUCGUAUGUUCUCUUAAUGAGAAAGUCGUUCACUUCUCGAUGAAAAUAAACACUACUACGUUUUUCCUCAGGUGUAGGGAUGAUAGAACAUCGGAUGUCGUCGUGUUGAACUGAGUGACUACUUCUAUUAUGGUCACAAAAACCUCAAUAAAGAGUGACGUGAUUACUUAAACUCGUGAUAGAACAUAACAUAGUAAAUAGAUCAGUGAUAUAGAUAAACACGGUGGUGUUACAACAAUGGAAUAGGACAAGAGUGAGACCAGGGCAAGACUAC
rnacentral:rRNA from 1 species